GUGGGGAAUAUUGGUCAAUGGGGGAAACCCUGAACCAGCAACGCCGCGUGAAGGAAGAAGGCUUUCGGGUUGUAAACUUCUUUGACAGGGGACGAAAGCAAUGACGGUACCCUGAAAACAAGCCACGGCUAACUACGUGCCAGCAGCCGCGGUAAUACGUAGGUGGCGAGCGUUGUCCGGAUUUACUGGGGGUAAAGGGCGUGUAGGCGGGGCGGUAAGUCAGAUGUGAAAUGUAGGGGCUCAACCCCUGAAUUGCAUUUGAAACUAUCGUUCUUGAGUGAUGGAGAGUCAGGCGGAAUUCCGUGUGUAGCGGUGAAAUGCGUAGAUAUACGGAGGAACACCAGUGGCGAAGGCGGCCUGCUGGACAUUAACUGACGCUGAGGCGCGAAAGCGUGGGGAGCAAACAGGAUUAGAUACCCUAGUAGUCC
rnacentral:rRNA from 1 species